rnacentral:lncRNA from 1 species
AACUUGUCAAGAUAUGUAUCAUGCAAAGUCAACACAUUUUUGGAGAUCUUAUAGAAUGUCACCAUAUAGAUUCUAGAUAGGUAGUAUAUAUAGAAGCAAGAGUGAAAUCUUCUUUAUUCUUGUCAAUUCCUUUCUUGCUUCUAGUUUAGAUUCAAGAGUCUCUAGUUUCUUUAUUUUUUAGCAAUAACCAUUUUAGUUUCCUUUUAAUAUACAUACUUCUUUAUUUUUAUUUUGUUACUUUUUUUUUAUAUAGAUUUCACAGAUUUAUGCAUCUUCUUUUAAUUCAUGUACUUGACUCUAGAUUAUAUAUUGGAUUUUCAUAAGACUUGUUAAAAAUAUAUG